rnacentral:lncRNA from 1 species
AGAUGAUGGAACUGAGAAGACUCAGCUCACUAAGACCAUCCUGUGUCUCCGCCUCCAGGUCCCGACUUCCGCUUCCGGUUCUUUCCCUAAACUCGGUAGGUCAUUCAAGCAGAGGUCAGGGCCGCACUGGUGCAGCUCCCGCACCUGGUGUGGUGAUGUCCAGGAUCAAGCACUGCUUCCCCUGGCUGACCCCAUUCUUGCCCAACUGCUCGCCUACCUUCAGAGCUGAUUUAGCUGUUUGGACACGACUGGCCAGCUUGGGUAGCUCUUCCUCUGGGAAACAGACCUCCACCGAUGAACAGCUCAGGCAUGGAGAAGCUACACAUACUGCCGGAGUCUUCCUUUCCUGGGUUCAGAGGCCACCUCCUCACUAAGGCACGAGGAAGAGGUGUGGAUGCCAUGGUGAUCACGCCAUGGAGAAGAGCCAGCUUCCAGCACCCAAGAAUUCAGGUACCCGCCCUGCCCAUUUUCCUCCAUAUCUUUCUUGUCAUGAGACACCAACUACUCUUCCAAACACGAGGCAUGAAUCAGAACUAAAAUUCUGUUUCUUAAAUUCACAAUUGAAAAACAACAGCAUUUACGUUAGUUAUUUUUGUCUAGGAUACAAGGGCAGUCUAUGAAUAAAAUACACACAGUUGGAGAGGAGGAGACGAUUCAUCCCACAUCUCUCUGCCAACCCAAAGGCCAACUGAACCAGCUUCGUGACUUUCCAUAGUUAAGAACAUGCCACCAGCCAACUAGAGUGGUUUUACCAGUGCUUAGAAUAUUGAAUUCAGUUCUCAUCUGCGCCGAUUUGGGUUGUUGAUUUAAAGUAGUUAAAUUUAACUUCAUGAAUUACUGAGUUGAAUUGAG